UUUUUUUUUUUUUUUUUUUUGUCUUUUUAGGGCCACGCCCACAGCAUGUGGAGGUUCCCAGGCUAGGGGUUGAAUCGCAGCUGUAGCCACGGCCCUAUGCCACAGCCACAGCAACACCACAUCCAAGCCGCGUCUGCGACCUACACCAUAGCUCAGGGCAACGCCAGAUCCUUAACCCACUGAGGGAGGCUAUGGAUCGAACCUGUGUCCUCAUGGAUGCUAGUCAGAUUGGUUUCCGCUGAGCCACAGUGGGAACUCCCCAACCACUCCUUCUGAGACACCAAGUCCACUGAGGCCUUGUGCUCUUUUUUUCCCCGGCACUGGGAGACCAUCACCCACCCAUUCCCUCUUAAAUGAGCCCUGGCACUCACAGAGGAUGUGCCAGCCCACCCCUGCCUCGGCCCAACCACCCUCACCCCAACGUGCCAAAGCAGUUGCUACAGGGGCACGGCCCAAGCCUCCAGAAGCCUGGCCAAGACUCCCAGGUGAGGCCCACUGAGUUGACCUGGACCCUGGCUCUCUGUAGGGACUCUUGGGGAGGAAGGGGGUCCCCACGGGGUCUGGGCAAGCCAGCCGCCACCUGCCUGCACCAGUGACAGUCACUGGCCUCCUUACUGCUGGAGGUGAGAGAUGUAGCAGCGUGGGGGUGCAGGGCAGAGCUGCAGAAGGGGUCCCUCCCCGGGGCGGUACUUCCAACCUCUGGGGCACCACCCUCCUCUGCCCCAUCACCGAGGCGCACACCCGCUCUGCCCGGGCCCCUCUUGCCACCUGCCCGUUUUCAUGAGGCUUGGGACCUGGAGACCCCACCCCUGACGCCAGAACCAAUGAUUCCCUGCAGCCCCAGAAUCCCCUCCUACCCCUCAACUGGGAGAGCUGAGAGGAGCAGCCAAGCCUCCCCCAGACGGGGGGCUGGGUCUUCUCUGAGACCUGGGACACCCCACCCAGUGACUUGGGGGAGUGCCGGGAUCCCCCCUGCCCCCCAGAAGGAGGGUUCCUGAGGGUCCCGCCGGGAUUGGUUAGCCAGAGACACUGUGGGCCUGCAGGGGCCCUGGGGAGGCAGAGGUCGGGCCCCAGCCCCGGGCCCGGCAGGUCGUCCCUGGGUGUGGCCCCUCCUGGGGGCACGGAGGGCAGGCUGACUUGUGUUCCAGGGUGCAUGCUCUCUUGGGGUGUGGAGGACCAAAGUGGGGUGAUGGCGUGCUGGCUGCCGUGUGUGGCCCUGCGCGGGAGCCAGCCUACUGACAGCCAGCGGGGCAGAGCAGGCUCACCCUGGGGCCGCCCCGGGCGGGGAACCACCCGGACCUGAGACCCACAGCCCUCUGGACCCUGAGCUCCCCCGGGUGCUCCAUCCCAUGUCCAGGGCCAGGAGCCCUGAGCACAGCAGGCAAGGAGUGGGGCCAGCUCCUCGGAGCGGGGGGUGGGUUGGGGUGGAGGUAAGGCUAGGGGUACCCUCCCUGGACCUGGCUCACAUGCCCAGUUCCCCACUGUGGCCCUGGGCCAGCCCUCCACCCCAGGCUGCCCUUUCCUGAAAGAGAAGGGGGUGGCGACCCAGGGUGGGGGUGCAGCCAGCCCCGGCGAGGUCCGACCCCGGUCCACCGUGCCCCUGCCAGUGCCCCACUGGCCGCAUCCUCCUCUCCACCUCCUGGACCCCAACGCCUCCGGUCGUUGCAAACCACAGCUGCAGGUCCCGCCCCCCCCCCCCCAGCUGCAGCUCCUGGGGUCUCUCCAGCCUCCUGGGAGGAGCAGGUGGACGUGGAGCCUCACCCCACCUCCGAUCUCCACCUCCCACCCAGACGGCGGGUGGAGCCAGGCUCUGCAGGGCGGCUCUCCCUGAGAGUGAGCUGGGAGACCUGCAGAGACGUCUGAGGAUCUCAGCCGCCCCUGCGGAGUGGGGGUGCAGGCCUCUCGCUCCUGCCCAGGGUCAGAUCUUGGCACCAAGGAAACUUCUGGGGCCUAAUGGAGCCGUGGAGGCGUCCCAUCCUUUUAAUUUUUUUCUUUUCUUUUCUUUUUAGGGCCACACCUGUGACAUAUGGAGGCUCCCAGGCUAGGGGUCGAAAUGGAAGUACAGUUGCCAGCCUACACCACAGCCAUAGCAACUCCAGAUCUGAGCUGCAUCUGUGACCUACACCAUAGCUCAUGGCCACGCUGGAUCCUUGACCCACUGAGGGAGGCCAGGAAUCGAACCUGCGUCCUCAUGGAUACUAGUUGGGUUCUUAACUCACUGGGCCAUGAUGAGAUCUCCAAGGGAUCCCCAUCCUUGAGCCUUCCACACUUCCCACUGGACUCCAGGCCCCAGUCGGCCACUUGUCCUGCCCCAGGCCUGCCUGUGCUAGCCAGCACUGGCUGCCACCACCCUGGGGACAAGGUCGGGGCCAGCACAGGCCAGAUUGUUGAAGAGGUGAGUCUUGGGAUGGAUAUGGGGCUCCCUCUGCCCUGGAGUCCUGGCUCUUGAGCCCGCCCUCCUUAGGGACCUGGAGGCAGGACUGUCACAGCAGGGCCUCGCUCUCACACUACACCUGCAGGAGGUGCAGCAGCAGAAGCUUCCCUGAGGCCUAGAUCUGGGUGGGGAGGCCGCCUUUCCAGCCAGAGGGCAGUGGUGCCCAGGCCUCUCUCCCAGCAAGCCCCCCCCCGCCCCCCUGCGGCCCCUGGGCUUUUCCUUGGAAUCGGCUCUGGCUUCCAGUAAAAUAAACACAUUAACCACUUGGCUGGCCCAGGCUGUAGGCAGAGGCAGAGCCAGCUGCAGAGGCCAGCGCCCGCCCAGCUCAGCCUGCUGCGCCUGCACUCCCCACCCGGGGCUGGUGCUGGCACGGCUCGGGGUGAGCAUGUGGGUGGGAUUGGGGUGCUGUGGGGAGGAGAGUUUGGGGGGACGGGGCAGGCUCUGGCCUGGGCCUGGUGGGUGACCACCUGGAGGCCCAGGCUGGCUGCCACCACUCCGGCCAAGGUCAGUCACGAGGGGGUCACCCCAGCUCCCUCCUCCUUAUCCCACAGCCGCCCCCCUCGGGGGGCAAGGAACAGCAGCCUGGCUGGGGUGGGGGGAGGCCCGGCGUCUCUCCAGAGGGCUGGGUGUCCUCGCACCGUGUGGCAGCCGCCCCCAGAGGGAUGAUUCAAAGCAGCCUCGGAGGCUCUGCCGACUGGUCCCGGAAAGCCAGCGCCGUCACCCCGGCUGCCUCCUGUGGGCACAGUCCUCCAUCCAGGCCCCACUCGAAAGGAAAACUGGCUCCACUUUGGGAAUGCCCCGGAGGACACAGACCCUGGACCCUGAGAGGAAGGGGAGGGGUGGCAGGUGCCAGACUAGGAUUGCUGUCUGGGCCACGACCCCCGGUCCCCUGGCAAGGGCACCGCUGGUCCUUCCUUCCACCCCAGCCCAGAAGUCUCCAGGCAGUGCCCCUUCCAGGCGACGCCUGCAGUCCUGCUGCCUGCCGACCCCGAAGCGGGAAGCAGCGCCGGAGGGCGAAGCAAAGGCCACGUGCUUGCUUUUAGAAAAGUACCCGCGUGGCCUGGGAGCGACAGAGGCCCACGCCCCCGGGGGUCAGGUGGGGCGAUACUCCCUUUCUCCUUUGCACUUUUCUAGGCUUUCCCAGUGUUCCUGCAGGGAGUGUCUAUUUGUUGAGUCUUUGCCUUUUUUCCAGUUGAGGUUAUGUUCACAUAACACGCACUUAGUAUGUAAAGUGUGCAACUCAGUGGCGUCCGUGCACUCCCAGUAUUGUGCAAACACCAGCCCUCGCUCGUCUCAGAACUUCUUCACCACCCCGUAAAGACCCUCCCCGGAUCCGAGACGUCGUCGCGCCCCGUUUCUCGCUCCCGAAUCCUCCGGGAAUGGCUGACCCGCGCCGCCCCCGUGGACCCGCCUCGUCCGGGUCCGCCACGUGAAAAGCACCCGGGGAGGGGGGCCGGCGGCCUUUGUGUCUGGCUGCUUUCACGCUGCAGUGUCCUCAGGUCCACGCACGUUGCCUCUGCCCCUUCACUCCCUUUAGGGGUGAACGCCAGCCCACAGUUGGAGGUCCAGUUCUCCGUGGACAUUGGGGUCAUUUCCCCCUUUUGGAGAUUGUCAGUAACGUGUCUAUGAACAGGAAAGGUUUUUAGUUUUGCUUUGUUUCGUUAUUGCCUUUUUUUCUUUUGGUCUUUUUAGGGCCACACCUGCGGCGUAUGGGGGUUCCCAGGCUAGGGGUCCAAUCAGAGCGGUAAGUGCUGGUCUACACCACAGCCACAGCCACAGCCACGCGGGAUCUGAGCCACCUCUGCGACCUACACCACAGUUCAUAGCAACGCGAGAUCCUCCAGCCACUGAGCGAGGCCAGGGAUCGAACCUGAGUCCUCACGGAUGCUCGUCAGGUUCUUUAACCACUGAGCCACGAGCCAUGAUGGGAACUCCCCGUUUUUGUCUUUUCAGGGCCACAUGUGCAUCCUAUGAAAGUUCCCAGGCUAGGGGUCAAAUUGGAGCUGCAGCCACCGGCCUACACCACAGCCACAGCGAUGCAGGAUCCGAACCGCAUGUGCAACCUACACGGCAGCUCACGGCAACGCCGGAUCCUUAACCCACUGAGCGAGGCCAGGGGUCAAACCUGGGUGCUCAUGGAUCCUGGUCAGACUCAUUUCCACUGAGCCAACCCAGGGACUCCCCUGCUGCACCCUUGUAGGUUCCCAGCAGCACACGGGCAAGUUUCCGUUUUAGAAAAAUCAAACCAUCUCAACAGGCGCGAAGCGGUCUCGCAUUCUCAUUUUGAUUCGCAUUUCCCUUGUGACCAGUGACAGUGCAUCUUUUCCGGAGUUCGCUGGCCACUUGCACAUCAUCUUUGGGGAAAUGUCUCUUCAAGUCCUAGACCAUUGUUUAAAUUCGAUGAUCUUUUCUGGCUGAGUUUCCUCUGUGUUCUGGACCCUAUCAGAUGCAUGUUCCUGGGCCUCUUUGCCUUUCACCCUCUGACUCUGCCCCUUGAUGCAGAAGGCGUUUGUCUCUCUGGUUGCUGUGUCUUCCGUGUCACAGCUCAGAAGCCAUUGCCUUGAAGACUUACCACACGUUUUCUUCCAAGGAUGUUUGGGUCUCGCUCCUUGGGUUUAGGUUGUCGAGCCUUGAGGAGACAUUUGUGUGUGACGUGAGCUCGGAUCAGACUUCAUUAUUUGGCAGCUGGAGACCCACUCAUCUCAGUGCCGUUUGUUAAUCUAUUACUUUCACAACUACGAAAAUAAGUUAAAAAAAAAGCCUGUCCUGGAGUUCCCGUCGUGGUGCAGUGGUUGGCGGAUCCAACUAGGAACCAUGGGGUUGCGGGUUCGAUCCCUGGCCUCGCUCAGUGGGUGAAGAAUCCGGCGUUGCCAUGAGCUGUGGGGUAGGUUGCAGACGCAGCUUGGAUCCCGCGUUGCUGUAGCUCUGGCGUAAGCCGGCAGCUACAGCUCCGUUUGGACCCCUAGCCCCGGAGCCUCCAUAUGCUGCGGGAGCGGCCUAAGAAAUGGCAAAAAGACAAAAAAAAAAAAAAAAAAAAAAAAAAAAAGCCUGUCCCUGUAUUUAAAUUGGAGUAGGCAUUGCAGGACAGAGGCCUCCCUUGGGUCCAGAGGCUGCCGCAGGCUCCCCUUCCUACUCCCAGAGCCGCAAAGCCCUGCCCCCACCCUUGUCCUCUCCAGCCUGUGGGCCACAGGGGGCCGAUGAGCAGCCUCGAGCCGGAGGCCCUACUGAUGGAUGUGGAGCAGAAGGCCACUCGCCUAGGGAGGCCAGGCCAGGUCAGGCCAUGCAAGAGACCCAUCUCUCCCUGGGAUCAGGCUGGGCAGGUGGGCCGGUGGGUGGGGGCACAGCCCUUGGCUCUCAGCCCAACCUCUUGGCCUGGAGGCUGGAUAGGGCAAGCCCCUAGGGUUUGGGCUCUCCCUGCCCCACCUGCUGCCCCAGGCCCUCAGACCCAGUCCUCUUCAUCCACUCCCCGCCGGCGACGCUAGGGCUCUGUUGCCCCUGCUCCAUCCCGAGCUGGGGGCUGAGGGCAGGAGGGGGUCAGGGCUCCCUCUGCCCCUCCUCAGAGCCCGGCUAGGUCCUGGGUGGGCCUGGGACCUGGGGGUGCGUGGGUCAGGGUGGGAACUGUCCUUUCGUGCUGCUCACCAGCCGGAGCCUCCCACCUCCCUCUUUGCUCCCUGUGUCCACACCCCUCCUCUCCCUGAAGCCUCCUGGACCUUCCAGCCAUGGGCCCCACUGCCCACGCCUCCCCUCCUGCCGGAAGCCGCCCAGGUCAGGCGCCCAGCAGACAGCCGCUCUGCUGGCUUCCUACAGGCCCGUUCUUCCUCGGGGUCUCCUCCCCGUGCACCCCCACCCCGCAGCCUG
rnacentral:lncRNA from 9 species